AUAGAAAGGAAGGAAGAACGUCCGGCAUCGUAUCUGAAGUUUCCCAGUACAAAGUAAAAUAACGUUUUAUAGCCACGUUCAUCAAAAUAUCCUCGUUUAAUUACUCUGAUUAUGACGAAAUAAAGACGCCUCUUAGUUGUUGGAUGAAAUUUUGGUGAGGAAAAGCAGCAUGGAAGGGUCCUCGGAGGCGGAACCCCCCCAGAUCAUCCAGAUGACCACCAACGAAAAGGUGGUGGAGCUUCUGAAUCAAGCUGCUCUGACACCUACAGAUGAAAAGCUAACAGUGCUCAAACAGGU